UGUUCCUCCCUGAGUUCAUUCAAAGAGUGUGAAUGUCUGCCUGAGUUCUCCAGGCCAGCACAGGUGGAGUGAAUAUGUAGCUCAGCCCAACAGAAGAUUACACUAAGCAGCUAACAAAAUAAUUUCAAAGAGAACAGUGGGCUUGAGCUGGCUUCAGCACACAUACUAUUUCCUAGCAAUUGGGGUGGCCCAGAGUCAUGAUGGAGAUGCUAUCAUUCCUCUGAGGACUCAGUUAUGCUUCACAGUCAUUGCCCUGAGUAGUAAGAGAUGAAGUAUUAAAGCCAUUCCAAAGAAACUACUUAAUAUAUUUACAGGUCAGAGAACAGACUCGUGGAUGAACUGUGUACAAGCAACUAAUCAUAAAGAGUGUGCUGGGAAGACUUCCAGAAGACUCACUGGCUUGACCUGUCUCCUGUUCAAACUACAAACUACUUCAUGGGUUGGCCUGAGCUACUACUGACUGUUAUGGACCCUCAAAAGCUUUGAGAUACACAUGAUGGGGCACCUAAUCCUGAGAGAAUUCAAAUGCCAACAACUAAAAGCAGUAUGCGAGUCUAUAUCACAUCUCUGCGGUCCAAAUAUACGAGUUUUCUAAACUGCAGUCUAUGAAAAGUAAACUGAACAUUUCCUUUCUCUUUUCCAAUAAAAAGCUGAAAACAAACCCAGAAUUGUAUUCUGUCAAAAAUUUAAAUACAUUGUUACUAAUAGCAAACCAGGAAAGUGUAUUUCUUUAUAUUUCUUGCCAAAUAUGCUUUUGAACCACAUUUAAAAAUAAAUAAAUAAUGAAAAAGAAUUUGACACUGAUGUAUAUCACUAUAGAUCUACCUCUGGAAAUCACUGUUAACCUUUUAUUUCUAUGAAGGUUAGAAAUAAACUUCUAAUUUAGUCAGCUUUGAAUUACUUGGGCUGCCAGUUACAGGUAUAUGUUCAAACUACCUUAUCAAUACUGCUAGAGAUUCAGUAACUGGUGAUUGCAGAACAUUUUUAGUGCCAAAAUAUGGAGAGACUUUUAUUUGCCAAAAUAAAUCAGAAGGGGUCAUGUCUUCCACUUCUCUAAAUCAUUGUAGUUCAGUGAAAGUCAAUGGAUCUCGAGCAUAUUACAUAAGAAUGGGACUUCAUCCAGUUUGUUUCUUCAUUUCUUUGACAAAAGAAACCCUUCAAAGUAAGGAAAAAGAAACUUGUAGUGACCUAAUUUAAAAACAAACAAACAAACAAACAACCCAAUCAAACUUAUUUAGUGUUUUUUUUUAGUACAAAACAACUUUAAAGCAUACUGCAUGUAUGAUGGCAAAUUGAACACACAAUUUAUGCAUGACUUUUGCUUCCUUAAUGAAUUGUAAAGAAAAGAAUGAGGUGCCUAUUCCAAGCAAGGAUAUGAUUGUUAUUUUUUAACAUCUAAGAGACAUUUUAUGCAUUAUGCUUUGCAGACCUAGCAGGUUUUUUUGUUUGUUUGUUUGUUUUGUUUUGUUUUGUUUUUAAAUUUGUGUGAUGUCAUAUUUGAAAGCAGUUAGUCGAUGAAAUCUUAGUUGUGAAAGUCAACCAAAUAUUGUGACCAAAGGAAUGUCUCCAAAUUAGGCAUUCAGAAUCAGGUCUUAGUUGAUUAAUCCAAUCUUAUUUGAGCUCAUAGUACAGUAUCAAGAUCCCCAUUAUGCUUAGUUAUAAUUAUUUAUAUGCUACUGAUUGGUCAUUUGCAUUUGUAGUUGAUCAACAAUUUGAUUCAUCAGUCUAAAAAUGUAUUUUCACACCAAAAAAAUGCAAUACCUGUGUCAAUGGACAAUUCACUAAGAAUGAAUGUAGAAGAAACAGACUUUUUCAUUCAUGCCUGGGAGUGCAUCUGUUGUGUUGAUACUCAGGAUUAUUCUUAUAAGAGUUCAUAACACCUUACGACAUUUGAGAAGCCAAAUAUAUGCAGUUCAUCCUCACACCCACCUUGCACAAUAUGGUUUAUUUGAAAUAAUUAAUAUAAUCUUUAUAUUAUGGUAAAUCUAGUAUCAUAUCUUUAUAUAAAAUCAGUUUUGAAGCCAAUUUUACCAAGAUUAUGAUAAAGUACUAAAGAGAUGAAAAAAUAUUAACUUGUCUAAUAUGUAGUAGAAAUUUAUGCAGCCACAAGCUGCCAGUAAUAAAUUUUAAUUGAUUUACAAUUUAUAUUUUUGGUCUUCUUCCCAGAGACUCCAAGCUAUUAAUCUGUCUUGAACACAACCAGAAUACUGUAACAAUUCUUAGUCACUAAAAGCCUUAAGGGGAAUUCAAAUCUGUUAGAACAAAUAUAAUAGCUUUAUCCACCUUAAAGUGGGGAGUAAGGUAGAGAGGGAAAGGACACGAAACAAAAUUUAAAAAAAAAUAUUAUUUGUAUUUACUCAACUUUAAUAAAAAUGUGUUGUUCUUGAAUUUGAUAUAAACAUAUAUUCAUCUUUUUAAAGUGAUAAGAAUGUAUAUUGUUUACUGUGUUGCUAAUGUAGAGUUGGAUGCAACAUUUUCUAACAGUAAAGAGCUGUAUAACAAACAAAUGACUACCUUUUGUUAUUAUUUCAGAUGAUAUUGUAUGCAGCAUUCAUAUACAGUAUUUCAUAUUAUUUUAAACCCUAUUGAGUCAAUAUCAAAUGCCAAAUGUCCUUGGUUUGAUGUCUACUAGGCUGGAGAUACCUGAAGUAAUAAAGUACCUAGUUCUGAUUUCAUACACUCUCUUUUGCAUCUACAGCUCUACAAGAUCAUCAGUGAUGAUGGAAACACCUAUAUACGCAUCUCAUACUCAGAG